rnacentral:lncRNA from 1 species
GGACUCUGUGCGCAGGCGCCGUGCUGCGGCCUGGGAGCCGGCGCGGGGCUGUGCGCUUGCGCGUUGGGGUCCUGGCGUUGCGGCUUCGCCCUGACGUCCAGGUUUCGCACGUCUUCGUCUUCCUGCAGGACACUGCAGUGGUUUCAGUUUGCAGAAGUUUCUGAACUUUUAACUCAAGGUAAUGAGCCAGUUAAUAGAGUGAAUUUUGUGUGGGAAGCAAUUACCCCAAUUGAUAGGAAACUUGAGAAAAUGAACACAAGCUUUAAUGAGAUUGACAAAAAGGUCGUGUGUCAGAGCUGAGAUGGAGUAAAAAGGAAUAAUGGUGGGGGAAAUCAUUGAAGACAAUGCUAUG